CACUGAUCCUGGUAACCACUAAUUCUCCAUCUUGAUAAUUUGGCAUUUGUGAAUGUUAUAUAAAUGGGCUCAUACAGUAUGUAAACUUCUGAGAUUGUCUUUUUCUGUUCAGUAUAAUACUUUUAAUACCCAUACAGGUUGUUGCAUGUAUCAAGUUUCUUUUUUAUUUUAUUAUUUAGCUGUGUAAAGUUUCAAGAGAGUAAUGAUAAAACCCAGCUCAUCUUUGGUUCAGUGACCAACAUACCAGCAAAGGAUGCAGCACCAGUGGAGAAAAUAGACACCAUGCUGGUCUUGGAAGGCAGUGGAAACCUGGUGCUAUACACAGGAGUGGUUCGGGUAAGCAAUAAGUAGCACUUCAUGCCUUUAGUAGGACUUCAGGCUGCCUGCAUGAAUAUUUGUAAUGUUACUUUAGAUUGAUAUUUUAAAUUUGUUAUGUUCCUGUCUGCACAAUUUGGCAGAAGAAUUUUGUUAAUAAUUCUCAGUGAAGCUUCCUAUUUAGGUGGGUCCUAAUUUGGAGGGCUAUGGCUCACUGCUGUUAAAUGCAUUGGUACUCUAAACCUGUCACAGAUGGG
rnacentral:lncRNA from 10 species